UUCAGCUAGCUAGAAAUUCCCUGUACUUACGUCUCCGUUUAUGGGUGACUAGACUGCGCUUCCCAAUGUGCUGAUUCAUAUCAGUGCAGCGCGGAGUCUUGGCUUGGCCCCAUUGAAAUCAGCGGACAAAUUCAUGUCACCAGAUAACAAUUCAGCACAUUUUGAAAUCGCUUUACAAUGCCCCGAGCCAAGUCUCCCCAUGGGCACAUUGUGGUGUCCUCCUUAGUUCUUCGCACUGCGCUGCUCUGGCUAACUCCUGCUGGUCUGUUUUCCCAACGACUUGGCAAACCAUUCUAUGGAUUCACUUGUUCUUGGACUUCAACUUGCGGUUUUUCUGCAUUCGCAUUCUUGUGCUUCAACAGGCGGCCAUGGCAAAUCAGCGCGGUUGUGGAUCGCAGGAACUUCUGGCCUAGUCAUUGAUGCUUUCGUCCUCGCUGCUUCAGCGAUUUGAAUGGCACAAUGGCCGCAGUUGGAUGCUUUUCAUUGGAAGUUUUAAUGAUAUGGAUAAGUAAUCAAUAUAAA